rnacentral:tRNA from 1 species
CCCUAAAAAGUCCCGACAGCA